rnacentral:rRNA from 1 species
UGUUUUGAAAGAUUUCUUCGGAAUGAAUUUGAUUUAGUUUAGUGGCGGACGGGUGAGUAACGCGUGAGUAACCUGCCUUCAAGAGGGGGAUAACAUUCUGAAAAGAAUGCUAAUACCGAAUGAUAUAUCGGAACCACAUGGUUCUGAUAUCAAAGAUUUUAUCGCUUGAAGAUGGACUCGCGUCCGAUUAGUUAGUUGGUGAGGUAACGGCUCACCAAGACCGCGAUCGGUAGCCGGACUGAGAGGUUGAACGGCCACAUUGGGACUGAGACACGGCCCAGACUCCUACGGGAGGCAGCAGUGGGGGAUAUUGCGCAAUGGGGGCAACCCUGACGCAGCAACGCCGCGUGAAGGAUGAAGGUUUUCGGAUUGUAAACUUCUUUUAUUAAGGACGAAAAAUGACGGUACUUAAUGAAUAAGCUCCGGCUAACUACGUGCCAGCAGCCGCGGUAAUACGUAGGGAGCAAGCGUUGUCCGGAUUUACUGGGUGUAAAGGGUGCGUAGGCGGCUUUGCAAGUCAGAUGUGAAAUCUAUGGGCUCAACCCAUAAACUGCAUUUGAAACUGUAGAGCUUGAGUGAAGUAGAGGCAGGCGGAAUUCCCCGUGUAGCGGUGAAAUGCGUAGAGAUGGGGAGGAACACCAGUGGCGAAGGCGGCCUGCUGGGCUUUAACUGACGCUGAGGCACGAAAGCGUGGGUAGCAAACAGGAUUAGAUACCCUGGUAGUCCACGCUGUAAACGAUGAUUACUAGGUGUGGGGGGUCUGACCCCUUCCGUGCCGGAGUUAACACAAUAAGUAAUCC